AGGGCCCCACACCGGCCACUGCAGAGAGAAAACAGGAGUGGGGGGGGGGAGGAAAUGUCCCUCGGGGAGGAUGGGGGUAGGGGGGAAGGCCAAGUGCAACCGGCUGAAGGAGGCCAGGUCUCCUCCAGGAUGCAAACGAGCGCCAGUUACCUUGGGACACAGCGGGGGGGGGAAAGGGGGCAACCAGGAUGGAGGUCUGCAGAGGAGAGGCGGGAGGGUAGAGGCAGGGUCUUCUCCAAGUGCAACCCAGGGACGGAGAUGGACAAACAGCAGGACCUAGGGCCUCCCCCGGGCCAAAAGGCGUGGCCAGGCAACCUAUAGACCGUCCCGAGAUGCUAAGACAGCGCACGGCUACCCCCGGCUCAACCUAGCCCAGACUGUCCGAGGGGCCCGCGCGCGGCCGCAGCCCCCGCCCCCAGCCCGCAGUGCUCUUACCUCCACACCUGCCCCAUCUGCAGCAGGUGGAUGACCGACUGCCAGAUCCACACGGAGAGGCGGCACAGACGCUGCGCCCCCGGGGUGGCCGAGCCCCCCGCACCCGGGCCGCCGCGGGCCGCGCCGUGGCCGUAGCCGGCCCCCAUCAUUGGGGGUCCCCGGCUGCUGAGCCCCUCCACGGCGCCUAGCCCGCCGCCCGUGUAGUCCUGCACGAACCAGCGGAAGCUCAGGCUCUGCACCAGCAGCGACGGCACCAGCACGAAGAACAGGGUCAGCCCGAAGCAGCCGUAGUCCCCCUUGCGGUAGUAGUCGAGGGCCAGCCACAGUGGUACCAAAAGGCUCCUUCAUAAUCAGUUCUACACAAUGAGUUCUCCUGAAUCACACCCUAUGCCGUCUACCCACUGAUGCCAACCCCAAAGGACAUCAUAUCACAGCACUAGUUAUAGGAAGGACCCUGUUACAUUGCAGUAACGGCACACAUCUAGGACACAUCGUGUAAAUCCUAGUAUGAGGAUGGGCCUCAGCACGACACCACUGAUGGGCUUUUGAGCCUCUGGAAGCUUCUUAACUCUAAGUGUGCAUCAUCCUUAUGCUUCUAUUUUACUAACUUUUGUAGAAAUAGAACCUCCUUUAGAACUGCAAAGCAAAUUCAUAGAACCUGUUAUUUUGAUAUUUGAUGUUAAGAAUUGAAGUGUUGGGCUGAAGAGAUGACUCCAUGGUUAAGAGCACUUGCUCUUUCAGAAGACCCAAAUUUCAUUCCCAGAACCUAUACCAGGUAGUUCACAACCACCUGUAACUCCUGAUCCAGGAAGUCAGGUGCCUGCUUCUAGCUUCUGUAGGCACCUGCACACAUGUGACAUACACUCAUACAGACAUGCACGCGCACACACACACACAAAUAGUAUUCAAGUAUUGUUACUGGUGGUAUAAAAUGGUAUAAUCUCUACAGAGGAGAAUUAGACCCUACCUGCCAAAUUACAGGUGGAAUUACCCUCUGAAACAAUAACCUUCUUAUGGAAGUUUAUCCUAUAGAUAAGUAUGCUAGUCAGAAAGUACAAAUAGGGCUAAAGAUAUGGCUCAACAGUUAAAAAGCACUGGAUGCUCUCCCACAUGACCUGGGUUCAAUUCCCAGUACCACAUGGUAGCUCACAACUACCUCUAACCCCAAUUCCAGGGGGUCUGCUGGCCUCUAAGGGCUUGAGGCAUACAUAUGUUACACAGAUAAUACAUGCUGACAAAACAUCCAUACAUAUAAGAAAUUCGUUACAUUAUUUGCUUCUUUAGUUAUUUAUAAUUUAUUCUUUUCUCCUACACUACACCCUGCCCACAGCAUCCCCUCCCUACCUUCAUGCCAGUCAUUCCACAUCACGCUUUAGUUUUAGAUUUCUUCAUAUGAUAUAUUUUGGUCACAUUCCUUCCCUUCCCCCCAAGUCCUCCCUAAUCCUUCCCACCUCUCUACCUAUCCAACCUCAUUUUCUUUCUUUUAAUUAAAAAACAAAACAACAAACAACAAUAACAACAAAAAUACUACCAAAUUAUAACCAAACAUGCACACAUAACCUAUCUACUUUCAGAUUCUUGGACACAUUAGCAUUGUCAAAUAUGAGUCCCAUCUCAUGAAAUGGUUGGUUAGAGCCAUAUUAUUUAUGCCUCUGUUACUGCAAUAUAUUACAGAUAUAUAUGUAGACAAAACACCCAUGCACAUAAGAAAAACUUUUUAACAAAGUACAUGUGUAUUCAUAUAACUCAGUUCUUCAUGCAGCAUGUUUCAAAUAGCAAGGAAAUAUGGAGAGGUAAAAAGACCCAAAUGUCAAUUCUAGGGGAACUACUAGAUUCAUUUUGUUGUAUUUGUAUGACAGAAUGUGAUGUGGUGAUGUUGAAAAUGUCAGUCUUUUUUUUUUAAGUUAUGUAAAAUGAGUUGUGUGAUGUUAUGUUAUACAAGAAGAGCAAAGUGCAAUACAAUAGAACAUGCUUCAUUCUCAGUAAGACUGUAGAAGUACCUUUAUUAUCUGUUCCUGUUUGCUCUUUUCUAUAUAAAGCAAUUUGAAGAAAGUGCUCAAGAAAGUAAUUAAAACAAUUUCUUAAAGAGUAGUGUUAUAGGUGUGGCAAAGCUGUGUAUAUGGGAGCUGGAAUAUACAGACAAUAUAUAUACAGACAAUAAAAUUGGAAGAUACUGGGCCUGCUGGGUCACAGAGGAGGAUAGGACAGCAGGGGCCAGCCCUAAGAGGCCAUUGUUGAUAGUAAACACAUUGAGGAAACUGUAAAGGCAUUAUCUCUAAGAACUCCUAAAUUGCCGGGCGUGGUGGUGCAUGCCUUUAAUCCCAGCACUCGGGAGGUAGAGGCAGG